rnacentral:rRNA from 2 species
UCCUGACUGACCGAUAGUGAACCAGUACCGUGAGGGAAAGGCGAAAAGAACCCCGGCGAGGGGAGUGAAAAAGAACCUGAAACCGUGUACGUACAAGCAGUGGGAGCACGCUUAGGCGUGUGACUGCGUACCUUUUGUAUAAUGGGUCAGCGACUUAUAUUCUGUAGCAAGGUUAACCGAAUAGGGGAGCCGAAGGGAAACCGAGUCUUAACUGGGCGUUAAGUUGCAGGGUAUAGACCCGAAACCCGGUGAUCUAGCCAUGGGCAGGUUGAAGGUUGGGUAACACUAACUGGAGGACCGAACCGACUAAUGUUGAAAAAUUAGCGGAUGACUUGUGGCUGGGGGUGAAAGGCCAAUCAAACCGGGAGAUAGCUGGUUCUCCCCGAAAGCUAUUUAGGUAGCGCCUCGUGAAUUCAUCUCCGGGGGUAGAGCACUGUUUCGGCAAGGGGGUCAUCCCGACUUACCAACCCGAUGCAAACUGCGAAUACCGGAGAAUGUUAUCACGGGAGACACACGGCGGGUGCUAACGUCCGUCGUGAAGAGGGAAACAACCCAGACCGCCAGCUAAGGUCCCAAAGUCAUGGUUAAGUGGGAAACGAUGUGGGAAGGCCCAGACAGCCAGGAUGUUGGCUUAGAAGCAGCCAUCAUUUAAAGAAAGCGUAAUAGCUCACUGGUCGAGUCGGCCUGCGCGGAAGAUGUAACGGGGCUAAACCAUGCACCGAAGCUGCGGCAGCGACGCUUAUGCGUUGUUGGGUAGGGGAGCGUUCUGUAAGCCUGCGAAGGUG